ACAGAGCUGGGUGCUCAGGAACAUGCAGGCAUGCCUUUGCAGGGGUUUAUGCUUUCCAGGGUGUUUGGCUAAGUUGUGUGGAUUAGCUACUGGGUGCAUCUCCAGGCACUGUUUGUGUGUUUGCCUAUUUUUCCGGGGUAUUUGAGGAUUCCCUGUUUGGAGAGGAAUUUGUUCUGAAGGCAGCUCUAGUGACAAAUAUGUGCUGAAAAUGGAUGUUGGCUGAAGAAAUCUGGGAGAAAAGCACCUUUCUGGAGACAAUCAGCAUGCACUCUGCACAUCAGUUGUCUUCUGCAUUAAGCUCCGCAGGCUCUCUUCACUCAAAUAUCUGAGGUGCUUGAUUUUCUUUAAACUUAAUCCAUAAGGAAACAGCGAGCAAGAAUCUUCAUCAAAUCCUGUGGAGAAAGGAUGAGAUCUACUCACUUCAAGAUUUUGGGGGUAUUCCCAGAUGAAGGUCCUGACAGCACCUCAAGCUAUUACCCUGUUCAGGCAGAGUGUGAAAUGGAAGAUUCAAGAUUCAUACUCUCUGUGUAUAGUUGCUGAUCUGUA
rnacentral:lncRNA from 1 species